GAAAAUAUUGAUGUAUGUGUUUCCAUGUCUUUGUCCUGCGGGUUCAGGAUGGCGGCACCACUCAGUCCAUGAAAAGAUGGGAAGUGACAGAAAGGGAGACACAGACAGCUCCUGUUAUGUGCAUGUCUGUCAUAUUGUGAGGAGUCAGCUGGAGAUGAAGGUCUCACUGCACUAGCACAGGGAUGAACUAUCUGGCACAAGGACAGCACCUUGCACUUCCCCCAUUCUGGAGCUGCUGAGAGGGUGUCGGGAAUGGUUAUAGAGAAGGAGCAGACGAUACUUAAAAUAAAAUUUCCAUGUGAGGAUAAGAACCAUGCCUUGGAGGCAAGAACUCUCCUUGCUAGAUGAAAUACAGUAGAACCUCAGAGUUACGAACUGACCAGUCAAGCACACACCUCAUUUGGAACUGGAAGUAUGCAAUCUGGCAGCAGCAGAGACACGGCCAAAAAAAAAGCAAAUACAGUUCAGUGCUGUGCUGUAUUAAACGUAAACUACUAAAAAAACAAAGGAAAAGUUUAAAAAAAGAUUUGACAAGGUAAGGAAAAUGUUUCUGUGCUUGUUUUAUUUAAAUUAAGAUGGUUAAAGUAGCAUUUUUCUUCUGCAUAGUAAAGUUUCAAAGCUGUAUUAAGUCAAUGUUCAGUUGUAAACUUUUGGAAGAACCACCAUAACGUUUUGUUUGACAUUACAAACAUUUUAGAGUUACGAACAGCCUCCAUUCCCUAGGUGUUUGUAACUCUGAGGUUCUACUGUAUAAGGACCUGUAUAAGGAUAAACUGAUAUCUUUUUGUGAGAGCUUACAGUUAACAUCCCAGAUCAUAGGUUGUUUUCUGUGCUAUCUUGGGGAAAUCCUAGAGAAGGCGGAAAGCUAUAGCUACCAAACAACAUUCAUUUAAUUCUGGAGCUGUAUACAUAAGAGAAACUAUUCAAAACCUAUGAUAUUUACCUGUGUGAGCAUCUGCUCCAACUGGACUAAUUUUUUCCAGUGUCACUCAUCCUGUUCUUGGAUCUGUCUGCAUUCUGCUACCUAUGACCCUCAGCUCUGUUAACAAGCCAGUCCUUCAGCUGCCUGCAAGAACACUGAUUUUCCCUUAGAACGACAACAUGCUGUUUAGAAAGCACAUCACAGGUUCAAUGUUAUUCAAACAGUUAUCCUGUUGAUGCUACAUUUCAGAAGCUUUUGAGCAUAACUAUCUUUAUUUACCUUUUACACUGACUGUAUUUUUUACAGUGGUGCCUGCAAAUCAUGAACUGUUAAGCAGAAUUCAGCAUAUUCUGAUCAGCAUAACUUUCAAUUCUGCUUUACUGCGAGGGACCCUUCCCACACCCCAAUUUAAAGGGUGGGGAAAAUCUGUUCAGCUGCUUUUCAGUUUUCUUAGCAUGAAACAAGGCGUGUAAAGUUUAUGGGAAAACUAAAUUCUAAGUCCUGGUCUACACUAGGAGUUGAGGUCGAAUUUAGCAGCGUUAAAUGGAUUUAACCCUGCACCCGUCUACAUGACGAAGCCCUUUUUUUUUCUCGACUUAAAGGGCUCUUAAAAUCAAUUUCCUUACUCCAUCCCCAACAAGGGGAUUAGCGCUGAAAUUGGCUUUGCUGGGUUGAAUUUGGGGUAUUGUGGAUGCAAUUAGAUGGUAUUGGCCUCCGGGAGCUAUCCCAGAGUGCUCCAUUGUGACCGCUUUGGACAGCAUUCUCAACUCAGAUGCACCGGCCACGUAGACAGGAAAAGGCCCACGAACUUUUGAAUUUCAAUUUCCUGUUUGGCCAGCGUGGCAAGCUGCAGGUGAGUGCAGAACUCAUCAGCAGAGGUGACCAUGCAGAGCUCAUCAGCAGAGGUGACCAUGAUGGAGUCCUAGAAUCGCAAAAGAGCUCCAGCAUAGACUGAAUGGGAGGUACAGGAUCCGAUCGCUGUAUGGGGAGAGGAAUCCAUGCUAUCAGAACACUGUUCCAGUUUUCAAAAUGCCAAAACAUUUGUCAAAAUCUCCCAGGGCAUGAAGGACAGAGGCCAUAACAGGGACCCAAAGCAGUGCCGUGUGAAACUUAAGGAGCUGAGGCAAGCCUACCAGAAAACCAGAGAGGCAAACGGCCGCUCCGGGUCAGAGCCCCAAACAUGCCGCUUCUAUGAUGAGCUGCAUGCCAUUUUAGGGGGUUCAGCCACCACUACCCCAGCAUGUUGUUUGACUCCUUAAAUGGAGAUGGAGGCAACACGGAAUCAGGUUUUGGGGACGAGGAAGAUAGCUCACAGCAAGCAAGCGGAGAAACCAGUUUUCUCGACAGCUAGGAACUGUUUCUCACCCUGGACCUGGAGCCAGUACCCCCCAAACCCACCCAAGGCUGCCUCCCAGACCCGCCAGGCGGAGAAGAGGCCUCUGCUGCAUAUUGUUUCAAGGAUCACAGGAUCUUCUCCUUCCCAGAGGCUAGUGAAGAUUAGAAGGUGAAAAAAAUGCACUCGUGAUGAAAUGUUCUCUGAGCUCAUGCUGUCCUCCCACACUGACAGAGCACAAAUGAAUGUGUGGAGGCAGACAAUGUCAGAGUGCAGGAAAGCAUAAAAUGACCGGGAGGAGAGGUGGUGGGCUUAGGAGAGUAAGUGGUGGGCUGAAGAGAGGGCUGAAGCUGAAAGGUGGUGGCAGCAUGAUGAGAGGAGGCAGGAUUCAAUGCUGAGGCUGCUGGGGGAUCAAACUAAUACGCUCCAGCGUAUGGUUGAGCUGCAGGAAAGGCAGCAGGAGCACAGACCGCUGCUACAGCCCCUGUGUAACCAACCACUCUCCUCCCCAAGUUCCACAGCCUCCUCACCCAGACGCCCAAGAACGCGGUGGGGGGGCCUCCAGCCACCCAACCCCAGAGGAUUGCCCAAGCAACAGAAGGCUGGCAUUCAAUAAGUUUUAAAGUUUUAAACUUUUAAAGUGCUGUGUGGCCUUGUCCUUUCCUCCUCCACCACUCCUCGCAGUGCUUCUCUCCUCCACCACCUCUCCCGGGCUACCUUAGCAGUUAUCCCGCUAUUUGUGUGAUGAAUUAAUA